rnacentral:lncRNA from 1 species
GCAGAACACAGGAUCCGCGUCGCGAAAAACAUAUUCUUGGUCGUACUGAUGGUGAGUUGACGCUGAUCUUAUAUUCAGUAGUUCUUGUCGGCUGUAUGUAAAGAAACCUAAGAUGACCUGGGGUACUAGUGUAAGAAAUAACACGUAAAAAAACAAAAAACUGCAUAGUUUCCUAGGAACGCGAAGCGAGGCGGCCAUCUCUGUCGGCGCCGGAAGUAACGCCAGUGAAUUCAUAUCAAAAGACAAUGAUAAUAAACACAAAGGCUAUUUGUAUUGCUGACAGGCACACCCUAAAACGUAUAAGAAGAGGUCUCAGAUGUGUAGUUUAUGGGAUGUUUCUGAUAAACUGUAGGUUUCCAUUUGAUUGGAAGGCUGAACAGGUGGUUUGGGAGAUGCGCAGUGUUGCCCAACGUCACAAUCGGUGGUGGUAUAAAUCCCCCUGGGUUUGUCCUCCUGUCAUUUAUCUUGAGAAAAGACGAAGGCAGGAAAGCUACAUUACGCGCAAUUGGUGCAGGGAAGAAACCAAUAACAAGAUGACUAAAAUGGUGAUGGCUUACAUUGGGUUCCUUCUCCUUGCCAUGCGUUUUUCGUCACAGGUCCACGCGCAAGACCCUACCACACAGUCCCCUGCCAUGAAUGCUACGACCAAAGCUGGAGGUGCGAGUUCCAACAUGACCAAGAUGCCUGAUGUCACCAAGAACAACAUUGCCAAAGGAGCCAGUGCAUCUUUGCAGUCCAGCUCCGUUGUGCUCAUCAUACCCAUCAUGGUGGGGGGCUCACUACAGGGGUGCUUCUAGAGGGCUGUUGAGCAGUGAACAGACACCAGGAAGACUUUAACAUCAGCGGCCUAGAUGGGGCAAACUGUUCUACCAAGAUAACAUUUAAAAAAUAAUAUUCAGAAAGGCAGUCAUGUUUGCACCUAACCGAAUAGAUUCGAGGGAGUUCCGUGCCAGACCAGAACCCAUUUCUACUUCACCAAUUGGAAUUGUUAUUUGCCCUCACACCUUCAAAUCAGUAAGCCUUCACACCUCACACACUGGCCCCAUGUUCAUAGGCUGAACUGUAUGGUCCUCUCCAUGGAGGCAGUCCAUGAUGAUUAUGUACUGUACGGAACUCUGCUCUUUGAACUGUUUGGUUCCUGUGUAGACACCAGGGGGUAGUUUAGUAAUUUAAGAAGUUAACAUAUCUAAAGAAAUGUUGGUUGAGGCACUUUGAAAAUAAGGUGUAAAUGAAUCUGUGGCACAUGCACGAACAGUGGCAUUUCUGCACCUGCAGUGAGUACUUUGUCAGAGGCUUGAUGUACACUUGUAAUUUAUUUCUAGAGUAUGGAAUUCUAUGAGCUAGCAUGUGAGAUUUAAUUGUAUGAAUCAUGAUGUGAUCUGCUUAGAUUUGUUUUUUUAAGGCCAGGUUCAAUAAACCUUUGAAAUGUAGGUUACUUGUGACAAUUGUCUUGUAAAAUAAAAAUACUUUAACAUAAUGUUUCUCCUCCUGUCUCUAAAUUCUAAAGCUUGACCUGCCAAGUAAUUUGCUCUGUUCCACUUGUGUCCAGCCCCUUUAUUGAUCACAUAGCUAAGCCCAGGGWUUUCCUUAAGGUAGACUAGGUUUGAUGUGCCACAAAUUAAAUCCUUAUUUUAGAAUGGGGUAUAGGAAUGUUCACCUUUGGCCAGUUGUAGCAUUUAUGCCAUGUCAACUAGGACCUUUCUUGCAUUCCUUGUGGCCAAAACAGUUCAGUUUCCUGACAGUUGACUCCCUUGCAGGCUGCUUUAAUUAGAUUUACUUUAC